GGAAGGGUGGCAGAGUGGUCGAUUGCACCGGUCUUGAAAACCGGCAGCACCGAAAGGUGCUCCAGGGUUCGAAUCCCUGCCCUUCCG
rnacentral:tRNA from 1 species